GUCGUGCCCGGCCCCCGCCCCGGCCCCGCCACCGCCCCGGCGCUGCCCCGCGGGUGACUGACCGUUGUUGCGGCGCGGGUUCGGCUGCUUCCUGCGCUUACACCUGGGGCCAUCCGCCAUGAUCCGCUCGCUGGUGUCUAAAUGCUCCAGUCACCUCCUCCCCCGCCCGCCCCCCUCCCUCCCUCCCUCCCCUCCCCCCCGGACCUGGUUUACGACACUGGGUGGUUUUACUUUUACAUCACCUUCCUACACCUAGUGCUCGCCCGGAACCUUGUUGCCAGGGGUGACCGGGCGCUUUACGGCAGCGCGUUUGAACGGCGGCGGGGGAAAAAGUUGCGCCCGCAGCUCCAAUGGAGAGACAAACAGCUGGACGAGAGUGACGCUGUUCUUGCUGAACCUGCCGUUCUUGCGCUUUCCUGAGUCAUACUUCCCGCUUUCGCGAAGAGGAGAAGAGGUAUAAAAUUCUAUGCCCCUGAAAAAAAAAACAAAGGGAAAGGAGCAAAUUUUCACGAAUAAUUAAUAGAAGACCUCCUUUAGGCUUAAUAAACUUAUUAAAUGUAUUAAAAAUUAAA